GGGCUCGUAGCUCAGCCUGGACAGAGCACCGGACUUUUAAUCCGGGUGUCGCGGGUUCAACUCCCGUCGAGCCCA
rnacentral:tRNA from 2 species